rnacentral:piRNA from 2 species
UGAAAUGCAAGUGCUUCGGCCCUUGGG